rnacentral:rRNA from 1 species
GAUGAACGCUGGCGGCGUGCCUAAUACAUGCAAGUCGAGCGAACAGACGAGGAGCUUGCUCCUCUGACGUUAGCGGCGGACGGGUGAGUAACACGUGGAUAACCUACCUAUAAGACUGGGAUAACUUCGGGAAACCGGAGCUAAUACCGGAUAAUAUAUUGAACCGCAUGGUUCAAUAGUGAAAGACGGUUUUGCUGUCACUUAUAGAUGGAUCCGCGCCGCAUUAGCUAGUUGGUAAGGUAACGGCUUACCAAGGCAACGAUGCGUAGCCGACCUGAGAGGGUGAUCGGCCACACUGGAACUGAGACACGGUCCAGACUCCUACGGGAGGCAGCAGUAGGGAAUCUUCCGCAAAGGGCGAAAGCUUGACGGAGCAACGCCGCGUGAGUGAUGAAGGUCUUCGGAUCGUAAAACUCUGUUAUUAGGGAAGAAAAAAUGUGUAAGUAACUAUGCACGUCUUGACGGUACCUAAUCAGAAAGCCACGGCUAACUACGUG